UGCCUUUGCUGGAUCCCGAUCCUCAUAUCAUUAAAGUGUUGAGUCCACCAUCGCAGAACAAAGACCCAGGACCACCCCCAGAAUGAUGGUGUUGGUCUCUCUAGGGUCUUUGCCGCCUCACAAAGGAUUGCCCUUAGCAAGUGCAAGACCCAAGAGCAUGGUCAAGGCAGGACUUCACUUGAGUCAGGAUCAAGAACCAAAUUGAAGGCAGAGAGUGGCUGAGGAGAUGAACUGUUCCUGCUCCAGGAGUCCUGAGGAAAAAUCAAUAAAAAGGAAGAAAAGACAAGUUAUUCACCAGACUUGCAUCAGCCUUAAAAUAUCUCCCAGAGAUCUUUGUAAGUUUUCCCCAGGUAAGGAGUUAAUUAUUGGAGCCCCUGAAACGAGCGGCAUGAUCACAGCUUGAUCCAGAUGGAGAAUGAUAGGUGUUCAGGGCAUCAAAAGUCUCAGCGUCUUACUCAAGGAUUAAGGAACCUUGGCACAUAGACCAUAGACUUCCAGGAGAGAAGGACCUUUGAGAUCAUUGGACAAUGAAGGGGCUGCGCCAUAUAGAGGAAACCCUUCUUCCUUCCCCUUCCACAGAGAUGUUUUAACUUGGCAUCAGAGAGGCGCCCUUGAUCUCUGAGCUGUUUUGCCCAAGACUUAGUGUAAGAUAGUGAGUCAGAUACCUGAGGGUGAGGUUAUUGAGUGACGGGGAAGCUCACAGUUCACACUCACUUUUGCGAUUCUUUAAUUUCACUUAAAAUGUUAUCAAAACCGGAUGCCAGCUGUCUGUGCCAGGAGGCUUGGGCAAAAUCAUCUGCAAAGAACAUGUUUAGAGUCAUUCCUAUAUGUUCAUUUCUCAGAACAGCUUAUUAAAAUGUAAAGUUAUUUUCCCCCAACAGAUCAAGGCUGUGAUAAUGUCAUUAAUGAGCACUUUUUCCCAUAAACAAAAUGAACAAACCUCCCAGGUAGAGGAGACGGUUUAGCUUAGGAUGCAUGGUUCAGAAUGAAGGGUAGGUCUGGUGUUUGUGGAUGGGCUGCCUCGGCACUGCUAGCUGGCAUCAAUAGAGUGCUUUAAGGUUUGCAAAGCAAAAAGUGCUCAUUAAUGACAUUAUCACAGCCUUUACUUCUUCAUCUGUAAAAUGGUGAUAAUAAAAUAUGCAAUAAUUAUAUGUCACAUAGUUAUUAUAAAGAUUGUAUGUGAUAUUGCCCCUUUUUGAAUUUUAAAGAACUGUGCAAAUAUUUCAUUUUUGUGUGUGUGUGUGUGUGUGUGUGUGUGUGUGUGUGUAUGUGUGUUUGUGGGCAUGUGUCUCGGUAUUCCCGUUUUGUAACUUUUGACUAUUUGCAGCAAAAUAGUUUGUAGGUUUCAGUGUAGCUUCCCUUGGCUCCUCUCACUAAGUGACCCCUGCCCCUGGUUAGCCGAGAUGCCCAUGAUUCUUCAAGGAGGCCCAGACACUGCCAUGA
ensembl:lncRNA